GUAAACUCUUCUACAGUCAAUACGCCGCGCGGAGCUCAGGCCUCUCGCUGCUUUGGUGGUUUACGGUAGAACAACCGAUCCAAGAUGGCGGCCGCAUUUCUCGUGCCACAGCAGCAAAUGCGGAGCCUCCUCUUUAUGAUGUCUGUGAAUGAAUUCGCUGGAGACUGAAACCUGUCCACAGUGCAGAGCCGUCUGCACUCGGUGUGUCUGGCGCUGCAGCUGUACCUGGUGCAGGCAGGUCCAGCUUCGCCCUCCUGAGCUCCGUCAUGGACGCCUGUAGCUGCUCGAUCACAAAGUCGUCCUCGAAGAAGAAAUUUUUGGACAAGGUCUCCUGCAGAAACUCCACCAGCUCUUCCAUGGACAGCUUCAUCAGUGUAGGACAUGGCGGGCAGCAGCCGUUCACCCUCUAAGAUGUAGAUGUCCCAGAUCCUGAGGGUGAGGGUGAAGGGAGUCUGCACACAAGCAGAACAGAAGGUCAGAGGAUCAUUUUAUUGUUCUCCCUGUGGACUUCUGUGGGCUCACAGUGACCACAGAGGACAUGAUCCCACAGCCUGUCUGUGGCUCUGAGACCGAGCCCACUGCUUCUUACGGAAUGACAAGAGUAACUCACAAAAAUACAGUUGACAAAUAUAAAUACAUAGAUAUUUUAAAUGAAGGCUCUGUAUUUUCCUUUCCCAGCCGGGCUGACGGUAGGAAACACAGAACAUUGGACUCAUCCUUUAAAAGCCUGACACUCUGAAGUCGUUUUCCUCACGACUGCAGCCAGACAACAAGCUUUCACUUGGUGAACGACUGACCUGCGGACAUGGUUGUUCUGUGGGGGUGUUAAUGCACUCACUCUGUCCAGGAAGCACUGGAAGAACCACUUCAUGGUGUACAGGCUGGUGAACACCUCCUGGCUGUCCUGCAGCAGCACAAACCAACCCAACAGAAAAUCAGUUCAGGCGCUGCUGAGUGUGUGACAACAUGUCAGCAAUCAGUGAGGACUGAAUGACUUAAAUGUCCAGGGAGUAACACCAGUAGGUUCACCACAGAAUCACGACCCCUUCAGGUGUUGUUUCAGUUUGGGCAUCGUCUUCUUGAGGAUUCGGUCGUGAUGAUCCUGGAAGCGCAUCAGCUUCGGGAAGCCGGGGACAAAAAACCCUGAAGGUGAGGACACAAGGACUCAGAUAGUGUUUGGUGUGAGCUGCAGAGUUUUGGAGAUAUCUGCUGUACAGACGUCUGCCUUCUCUUCAAUAUAAUGGAACGAGAUGACGCUUCACUUGUGGUGCUCAAAGUGCCAAAAACUAAAAGUCUCUUUCCGGAAAUCAUGACCCGCUUACUUCCUUCAGCGAGAGCUCCGCCCACUGAGGACCUGCGGGAAAGCACAGGCGCCGACAGUGGAAGCAGAGUAACCUCUACGGUUUUGUGAGGCGAGUGAAUCGCUCACCGUGUUGUACAUGGAGUAGGCUGUGAGGACGUGGAAGAGAGCCUGCUGCCUGCGAACACAAAAACACAAAUCACCACAAGAAACCCUGCAAGCGACCCGGCGAGCAGAGCUGGGACCUUCCUCCUGACCUGACGGGUAAAACCCACAAGUACAGCGAGGAAGCUUCACAUCGUCAGCACAUCAGCUUCUCAGGGUUACGAUAAAGAAACAUGACUUAACAAGCUGUGGUUAAACUUCAUCACAGACUUCUGUCAAAUCUACGCAACCAAGCAGAAGUUCAAACGGAGAAAAGGGGACGUGAGCCGUCUCACUUCCAUGUUGGGACACUUUGGGGGUUCAAACUGAGUGAGUGACCAGGUAGAUUCUGUUAUUUAUACUUUCUACAUGGCAUUAAUUUAAAAAUGCAUCUCGCUGCAGU